UCCAUUUGCCCGAUCGCAGCAGAAGUCUCCGUCACCUUCUCUGCCCUCUCGUCCUCCGUCUUGGCCUUAAGGAUGCCAAUCCAUGCCGGACAUAGCUUGUCGUCGACGAAGGCGGCCCAGAAGCGAGCAGUGGCGCGCUCGUAGAGAUCGGUGGGGAGUAUGGACGGGCCGGCAAACAGCUCGUCGACGUACUGCACGAUGACGAGCGAUUCACACAGCGGCUUACCGUUGUGGAUGAGCACGGGGACCUUCUUGUGCACCGGGUUGGACUUGAGCAGGAGCUCGCUCUUGUUGAACAGGUCCUGCUCGACGUACUCGUAGCUCACGCCCUUCGUGCUCAACGCCAUGCGCACCCGGAUCACGAACGGGCUCACCAGCAGGCCGAGCAGCUUCAGAUCCUCCUUGCCUGCCAUUGUAUUCUUCUCUCAGUGUUUUCCUCCACUGACUCUUGGCUUGUGACUAAUUCUUGCUAUCUUGCUGUCUGUGUGCAGGACUUCACAGUUUGGGCGUUUAUAUAGCAGGUCGCGUGUACUUAGUCUACAUGAGAUUUUUUAUUGCAGACAUCGACGCUGAUAUUGCGGCGGCUGGCGACAGGCAAGUUGGUGGUCAUGUUCUUCUGCAGCUCACUGACGAAGCUUCAUUUUGCAAUCAGACGCUAACCAGCAGUGGACUUUUAUUUUUAUCUUCCCUAAUGAUGCUGUGAGACUGGCAGUGACAGCGGUUGGCAUUACCGUCUCUCUCUACUUUGAUUCAGUUAUGUGGAAUGAUUAUCCAUUUGAUACUUACUCCGCAAGUCCACAGAUACAAGUACUCUGAUAGGCGUGCUAGUAGGGCGGGUGGGUUGUAUUAUUGUUGUAACGUCGGGUGUGUCUGAAUGUGUCAAAAUGGAUUUUAGUGUCUAAUGAUUUGGGGUGGGCUGGGUUUAUCGCAAAUGCAGGGUGGGACGGGUUGGAAGUGGUUUCUUUUUCUUUGGAUUUGUAUGGGUUUAACUCAUAUGUUUAAGUUUCAGGUUUGACUCCUGACGUGGGAUCCAUAAGUAGAUUUAGUCACACUACUUUACACAAAGUACAAGACUGUCAAAUUCAAUCAUCUCCCACAAUUUUAAUCAACUUUGCUCAAAUUUUAAGGUGUCAAAUUUUAAGUUUUAGGGGUCAUCUCUUAACGCGAGGUCCACGUAUAAGUCUAGCCAUACUACUUUGCAUAAAGUAGUGGAAUAUCAAAUUGAGUUAUUUCUAACAUAUUUUAGUAACAUUUUCUAAAUUUUAAAGCGUGAAUGUAAGGUUUUAGUUCCAGGGUUUGGUUCUCAAUGUAGGAAAAAGUUUAUUUUUGACCAUCGAACUAUAGCCUCGGUUUGGUUUCGACUAUCGAACUCGAAAAUCAGAAAUCUUUAACCACUUAACUGUAUAAACCGUGUACUAAUGUCCAUCGCGUCUUGUUUUGACUCUCUUUGAGUUGUUUUGACUACCACGUCAGAUCGACCGGCCAUGUCACCAUGCUGACUCAGAAUAGGCCCACAUGUCAUGUCAUAUGCCUUAGAAAGGCAUCCACCUGUUUAGGGAUGGCAAUCGGACGGGUCUGGACCCGAGAUCCACGGGUUUCAGACCCGACGGGGGUGGGGGCGAGGGCGGGUCCGGAAUAGUUCCAUGCGGCAUCGGGCUCGUGCGUUUGGUAGCCUGCUGAACGGGGGAUUUAAAGCCCAACCAAGCUCAAUUACCUCACGGAAAACACCCGGCCUAGAGACAUCAGGCGGCCUUUCCUGCCUCCCUGUCGUCUCCUCCACUCGACGACUCACGCGAGCGAGAGGCGCCGCCCGCUCCUGCAGGAAGCUACCGCCACCGCCGAAGCUCCUGGCUCCCGCACGACCUCCUCCAAGAACCAGGUCUAGGUGCGCCUUGUCCACCCCUUCUCCCCAUCUCAUCUGAAUCCGAAUCCUCCCCUUCCCCAUCUCAUCUCCCUUUCCUUGCUAGGGUUCUGCUCCGAUGACAGCUAAGUUCCAUGGUGGCGAACUUGCUAGAUCCGCAGGAGUAUCUCCCUCCUCUCACUAGGCUACAGUCUCCUCCCUGCUCCCGCAUCCGUCGUGAAGUGCUGCUGCAGGCCUGCAUCAGCACCACAGACUGCGUGGCUGAGCCUUUUUUUUCUUGGUAAGGAACCAUAUCUUCUUGAACAAAUUGUUCUUUCUUUGCUUGGUAAUUAGCUGGAGUGCUCCAUGGGUUAGUUUUGUUGGCCUUUCUUGUACUCGAGAUUAUAUUUGAGAAAUCAAGUAUCUAGAAAUUGCUAUUGUACAGCACCUGAUUCGCUGACUCGCUGUCGCUAGCCUCUUGGGAAUUCAUUCUAUCAAGCAUGGUUUUUUUUUCCUAGAACAUUCUUUGCUAUAGAAACUAGAUUUCUGUUUCUAACAAAUGGAAAUAGGAUGCCCCAGUUUCAAAGGGAUCGAUCUGUUAGUCUAGCAUUCUAGCAUGUUCCUGAAUUUCAUGGUUUUGUAGCUAUUGCACUUGUGUUUAGGGAUCUGUCAUGCGCUAUGUUUUGGGAAUUUGUUCUUGGAGUCCCUGUGCUUUUGAUCUGCCAAUUCAUUGUUGAUUUAUUCAGAAGCUAUAAGAGAUGUGUGCUGCAAUUUUUGACAAGCUAAAUCUUAAUCCUUUCAAUCCUGCAACCAAUUUAUAUUUUUUCUAUCAGUAGCACUAGGUGGUGCCAUUAGUGAAUUUUGGUGAUUAAUAGCCAUAAGUGAAUUUUUAUGAUUAUUAUUAAUAAAAAUUUAUUGAAGGCUUCUUAAUUAGAAUAACUAUAACUGUUAAUUGAUUCUAUGUUCUGAGGUCUAAAUAUUAACAUUAUCUCCCUGGUCUCUGCACACCACGUCCAGGACAUUGGGCAUUAGCUCUAUAACACUUUAUAAAAUUCUCUUAUAAUUUUUUUACUUGUCUACAUAGUGCACACCACAUUCAGUCAUAUUAGAGUUCAGAAAAUGAUCCUACUAACAAACUUUUGUCCCGUGUUGAAGAAGCUACUAGCAAACUUGUGGCGGUAGCUUCUUCGGCUCAGCUGCUCGGCUAGUUUUUCUUCUUUGAAUUUCUAGCUGUUCGGUUUAGAGCACCUCAACAUAGAUUCAUUUAUAUGUAGCUUGUAGCUUGUAGAAUAUCCAAUUCUUCUGUCACUAGAAACUACUGUACAAUAUCCAAUUCUUCUAUCACUUGUAGCUUUGAUCUUGGAUGCAUAUAAUGUUUGGUUUUAUUUCUGAGCUAGGCUGAAGCCAUAUUUCCAUAUGAUCUUUGGACUCGUUGGAGGAGGAAGAAAAGGAUGAUAAGCUAUCCUUUGUACUUGUUGCUGCUAUAUUCUGUACCGGCUUUAUUGUUUGUCGAGCUACUACUGCCAGCGCCACUAGUGGUCAUUAGAUGGCCAGCACCAUUUCCACCAUUUCCCUACGUGAUUGGCAUAUUUGAUAUGAUGCAUUCUAGGAUGUGCUACUGCUUGAUAUAAUAUGACUUGAUGCAAUUUUGUGCAUAUUGGUUAUAAUUAGGGUUCUUUGUUGUUUUCUUUUUCUGAACAAGAUAUAUCAAGUGCUAUGGUCUGUUUUCAAGUGAAUAGGAAAUUAUUAUCUAGCUUGUAAUCUAUCGUUUGUCUUCUUGGUUUGACAUUUAGACUUUUUAGCUCCAACUAUGGACAUGACCAUAUAAAAGUGAUUCACCUCUGUUGGGCAAUGACUUCUGAAGGUUGAUGCAAUCUUUUGAUUGCCGGUUUUGAUUGUUCUGAGUAGCGUGUACUAUAGGAGUUGCAUGAUGUGAAUCGGUUUAGCCAUCGUUUCAUUUUGACUGUGUUGGUGCUAGUUGAGAUGGAUUAAGCUUAUAUGGAAUGGCAUCUGCAUGUUACUCCUAAAGACCAUGGAGCAACUAUUAUGCUAUUUUGGAUGAUAUGUUGACAAUAUAUGCAUUAAUCUUAUGUUAAAACCCUAAAGAUUCAGUCAAGUAAUUGCAUUUGUCAGUUUCAUCAGUAAAGGAAACAGAGCAAGCAAGUGGGAAGUAGAGGAAGGCUUCGUAAUUGCGUCAAUCUCCAUGGCAGUGCUUAUCUGCACCUAAUUCUAAGUAAUCGAGGUACCACCUACUAGCUUAUUCGUGUUUUUGUUUUGAGUCGUAUUGUUCUUGUUUUAUCUUACUCAGAUUUCCUCCCCAAAUUCACUGUAUCCUGUUAAUCGAAGGCUAGGGGAUCAUAUUGUUGCUAUGUUUACAUUCUGGUAAAAUGUAGCUUAUAUGAACUAGUAGAAAUAAUCAGCCAUUUCAGCUUCAGCUUCAGCUUAUCAGCUGGCUUAUCAACCACCGAACAAUAUUUUUCUCUCACAUCAAAUCAGCCGUUUCAACUUUUCAGCCGGCUUAUAAGUCCAGCCGAACACUCGGCUUAUAAUGUCUACAGUUUAUCUAUUGCUGCAAGCGAAUGGAAAAUCUCCAUUCACAAGCAAUAGGCAGCCAAUAAAAAAUCCCCAUGUGGGAAGCAAAACGCAUGCGCGUAGCUUCCAAACUGCCGAAGGGUAAUUACCCCUACGGGCGCUAUCUUCCCCGUUGGUGGAGGGAGAUUUUGUUUGCAAGAAAAUUCCCCGUGAAUUAAUUUAGCCCUAACGCCGUUGCUUUUCCACGGGAUAACAUAUUAAUCUCCUUGCUAAUCACACAUGUUAAGCAAGCAUGGCCGGCCACCUUCAUGACUAGUUGCUGCUGCAUUCCGUAGCCCCAAAUGAGUAUUAGACUACCCCAAGGUCAAGCAGCUGCACAACAUCCUUCAAUUGACGCUUGAUACUUCUGUUUUCUUUACUUAAUUUCUUCACGCCCCCUAUCUCUAGAUCCUGACUCCACCCCUACCAUCCCCACCUUAAUUUAACAAUAGUUCAGUUAAGACUAUGUAAUAAUCUUACUAAUCACUGCUUAAUCAUGUCUAAUGUUGAGUCAAUCACUAUAAUAGAUCGGUGUGAAUCGGUUCCAUUAAUUUUCCAGAUAAAUUUUUAUGGGAUAGGUAAUUUAACGGAUUCACUGAAUUUUUCGUAGACUUUAUAUCUAUGACUCAGUAUAUUAGAUUGCUAUACCUUUGACUCAGCAUAUUAGAUCGCUAAGCAGGGAUUAGGCAGAUGAUUACGUGGUAUAAACUGCCAUUAGAUGGCACUAAACUAUUGUUAAAUUAAGGUGGAGAUGAUAAAUGCACUGGUUUAGUUAGUUAAGGGGUUUAUUAAUAUAAGGGAUGAAAAUGAAAAAAUACGUUUUCCAAAUCCAAAUGAUAAAUGGCGUGUUUUUUAGGAAUUUUUUUUUGAGUGUAUCAUUUGGAAUUUGUGGUUCGUCACGAAAGUAACAAGAGUCUUCGAAGGCCUGGUGUAGGCCCAGUAUAGAUUAAGUAUGGGCUCCAUUUAUUCAUAGAGCCCUGCUCAAAUCAGACCUUCUUAUUCCAUCAUAUAUAUCGUGGAUUCAAAUCACGUCUUAAAGCCCAUUAAUAGCCCAGUGAAAAUAACCAUACCAAAGUACCAAACAACAACAAUUCAAUCGGCGUUCAGCAACAACACCGGAGGAGCACCCACCAAACUAACUACUAAUCCAGGAACGUUUGCAGGAACUCGAUCACCUUGUCAACGUCAGAAGGCAGGACGUCCUUCGCCGCAUCCGCCGCGGCGAACCGCUCGCCCCACGCGGCCAGGAGCGGCGUCCUCGCCGCGUCCAGGACCCUGACGCCGACCAUCUUCUCGAACACCUUGAACCACCCGAGGUAACUGCCCAGCACGACGUCCACGAACCCGAUGCCGUCGCCGCCGAAGUAGUCACCCCCACGGGAGCAGUCCUUGAACGCGCCCUCCAGCGUCCCCAGCGCCGUGAUGAUCCGCGCCGCCGCGUCAGCCUUCUUCUCGGCCUCCCGCGCGAAGAGGAUCGUGUGCCACGGAGAACCCACCUGCGCACACAUCAUGCUUGUCUGAGCUCCACACAGCAAGGAUCGAGAUGAAAUGUGGCAAAUACCUUAUCGUCGACAAAGGCGGCCCAGAAGCGGGCGGUGGCGCGCUUGUACGGGUCGGCGGGGAGGACGGAAGGGCCGGUGCCGGAGAAGACCUCGUCGAGGUACUGCACGAUGACCUGCGACUCGGCGAUCGGCUUGCCGUCGUGGAUGAGCACGGGAACUUUCUUGUGCACGGGGUUGGAAUUGAGGAGGAGCUUGCUCUUGUUGAGGAGAUCCUCCUCGAUGUACUCGUAGCUGAUGCCCUUGAGGUUGAGCAUGAUCUGCACCCUGUUCACGUAGGGGCUGUCCCACACGCCCAGCAGCUUCAGCUCACCUCCCUUUGCGGCCAUUGCCAAGCACCCAAGCUCGAUCGAUCAGGCUAGCUAGCUAUUCUGGAUGUUGUGCAGCAGUAGCGCAGAGGAUGUAGUGGAGUCUGUGGGAGUGGUUACAACUUACAACUCAUAAAUACUUGCAGACAUUCACGAGGCUAUGAUUGCACGUUAGGUGCCAGUGCGCAAACUUUUCCUCCACAUAAUUGGAUUAUUCAGGUCGUAAGAAUGAAAUGAAUGAACCUGCCAAUGCAACAAAGUAUGCGGCACAGCUUUCGUUCAGAGAAGUACGUGGUCCAGCUUGCAUCCAGCCGUUUUGGAGAAAAAUGAAAGGCACCGGAAACCACCGUACUAGCAGCAUGCUGGCGUCGCCGUCAGACCAGAUCUGCUGCGGCAUGCUCUGUCUUUGCACGCCUUGCACGUAGCUCUCUCCAAUCUCCACGGCAACCAAUCCAGUCUGCAGGGGUGCAACCAGAGGCGCUCGAUGGCGGGAUCAAAUGAUCUGGAGCGUCGAACAAGGAGAACAGAGACAGGCAAAGGGAUGGGCUAGCUGUUUCAGGACCAUGCAGUGGCAGAGUUGGAUCAUUCGAUCAAAAGGACGAUCCCGGCUUGUUGGUUGGUAAGAUUGGAUAAAUUAUUACUUGUGGCUGAUGAAUGUACGUGCAGGCGUGCAGCCGUGCAGUUGCCCACAUCAAAAGAUUCCAUUGGAGGACAAUAUUAUCAGGUUGUAGUAUAGAGUAUGAACUGUUUUUUGGUAUGGGUAAAAUUGUAAUUAGAACGACAUAUAUUAUUCGGGAUUUUUUUUUUCCGCACGCUAUUUUUCCCGCACGAUCUCAUAGCACGCCGCGCCGCCCGUCGAUGGAAAUUGUGAUAACACUGUGAACAUGAAGUUCCGCUGCUUGCAUCGCAUCAGCAUUGCAGGCAUUCAACAGUCUAUGGUGUUGCCAGCUUUGCCAUCAGGAGCAGGGAGAUAACGCGCAAUGCUGGUCGUGCGCGCUGCCUCGUGGAUGGCCGGAGCACUCUUCCUUGGUCUACUCUAGCACGGCGCCCUUCGCCGCCGCCUGGUACGAAACGAGGAGGACGAGAAGGAUCUCGCGCUAAUGACUGGACGAGAAGGAUCUCACGCUAAUGACUCGCCAUCACAGGCCAACGCGGUGAAUUUGCCCCGUCGCAUGUCCGAUGGGGACAGUGUACGUUGGAUGGAUGACGACGGCGCCGGCCGCGUUCGCUGUGGUGUGGUAUCGCUGAUGGAAGUUUGCAGAUUGAUUAUUGAUCGCGAUCUGCCGGUGCCGAUGAAUCGUCGGCGCCAUGAAGAGAGUAAGGAAAGAUUUGAUAUAUUUCAACAAUGCCAUUAAACAUAUUUCCAAUCAUCCCCCUAUACUACCCAUACUACUGAUGCAUACUAUCUAUACUACCGCUUAAUGUUUUAGUAGUAUAUGAUUAUUCUCGACCGUCGGAUCCUUACAUACGAGUCCUUUUCGAACAGUAGUAUAAGGUAGUAUUGUGUAUCGUAAAAGUUCUUCUUAUAAGGCUAAGCAACAAACAUGACACCAGUUAAAAUUUGGCCACGGGGAACACGAUCUUAUAUUAAUACGCAGGUUCCAGAUGUUGCUUCUUCACUUUGCACAAAUAAAUACCAAAGGUGAUAUUCUCAUCUCACAUAUAUGGUUAGAACCAGCUGAAGCCGAUUGAAGCGUUCUUGAUACAUUAUUGCACAUCUCAAGCACAAAUUGGAUUUCAUUGGGGAAACAUUGCUCCACUGAGGCGCUCCGCGGACGCUUUAUCAAAACAGGUCACCCGAAAGUAAACUGAGGCACGCAAGUGUUAUUUUAUCUGCUCAAUUGUUCCUUUUUUUUUAACAAUGUCAACUCUGCUAAUUGCUUAUUUGUUUUGCGCAAUUGCUCUUGUUUUGGGUCUGGCAACAGUAUUGUUGCUGGCCUGUAAGUAGCACUGGUAUGGGGAUAUGCUAAUAUUAGCCCUACAUAUUUUAUUUUUGAGGCGAACAGCAGGGAGGCCCUACAUAUGAACUCCCUCCCUUGAAUUUUUGGGCUUAUGAAGCAUGAGCAAAAACCAUUCCGGCCCUGUACAAUUAGUGAAGCUUUGGAAUGUUCCACUUCUUCCUCAUAAUGUCAAUAAUCUUGCUCUAGCAUGCGGGCGUGCUAGUGUGCUACUACUGCAUGGAAGGUGUCUUUAACACAAAUCUAAGCGAGCAGGUAGCAUCUUGAAUCAAAUAGCAAAUAUUAUGUUAUGUAAUACUCCCUCUUUUAUUUAUGUAAGGCGAAUUAGUAUUUGAAAAGUCUUUGCAUACACACUUUGACCAUUAAUUUCUCUUAGAAUACAUAGCAAUUAUAGUUACAAAAUCAAUAUCAUAUUGAUGAAGGUACGUGAAAUAUGAAUCUAAUGGUACAACUUUUAGACACUAAGCAUGUAUAUAAUUUAACUAAUUAUUGAUCAAAACUUACAAAGUUUGACUUUUCCAAAUAAUAUAUAAUACACCCUAAAUAAAUAAAGAAAACUAAGUAGGUGUGUACAAACAUUUUUGUAGAUAAGUAGUGCAAGCUAAUUCAACGUUUCAUUUUUAUAAAGAAUAGCGAAAUCAUAGCUCACGAAAUAAUGUAUGUGAGAUUACAGACGACACCAACGAUUGAUCUACCGAGAUAAUGUAUGUGAGAUUACAGAUGACACCGGAGGUAUGAUAUUUGUUGAUGAGGUUCAGCCGAAGCUUACAUUCUCGGGGCAUGACUACUGGUGCUCCUCCCAAACCGCAACAUCGAUCGCUCCAGGGUCUCGGCAAUACGCCACCUCCCCCCUGUGAGCCUAUCGUUAUGUUGUCAUGGUUACAACAGCAGUCCUCUCUCAUAUUUAUGAGGAGCCCGAGUCACAAGAGUUCAACUCAUAUUCUACACCCUACCGCUAAUACAACUCCAAGUCCAAACGUAACCAACUAGUACACAAUAUUCAACACAAUUCUAACAAACUCCACCUUGGCGAAUGUUCACUAUCUUGAAGCUGUCAUGCGUGAACAUCCGUAUACACCAAACUUGGGUUGUUGACUUUGUAGCUCAAGAUGAGCCACCCGAUGAGAUUGGCUUGGCCUUAGACCUGCAGCCUUCAGAAGACACAGCUAUCCCUGCAACUCCAUCUUCCAUGACUCCAACCUGCAACUGUGCACCCUUGAAGCUUGUACAGAUGCGAUGCCGUCCUCUCUCCUAUCAUCACAGCCUCGUCUCCCUUCAUGAUCUUCAUGGUCUUCCCAUCCGGCUCAGCCUGGAAUAACAUACCAUCAUCAUGUAGAGCUCCAAGCAAAAUUAGAUUCCUACGCAGCCCCGGCACUUGCCUAACACCCCGAUGCACCUGCUCAACUCCAUCUUGCGUCUUGAUCUUGAUGUCGUCUACUCCAAUAGCACAGUAACCCGUCUCAUCACCCAAAUAGGCUAAGCCAAAAUCACCAGACUUGUGCGUUGCAUGAAAAGAGCUAGCUAAAUCUAACACCCACACUUCAGUUGACUGCACGUUGUCUGAUAUCGAGAGAACAUCAGUAUCGUUGUCCGAGUCACUCUUAGAAAUUGCAACAUUAGCACUUGCCUUUUUAUUAUUUUCUGGAUAAUCCCUCCUUACAUGUCCUAACUCACCGCAAUCAAAGCACCGCACUUUCUUCUUCUUCUUUUCCUUCACCUUCUUCUUGCUAUGCUCACCUUUGACCAGCAAUGCAUCACCCAGAGGUCCAUCCACUGCAUUGUUCUUUCUUCUUUGUUCCCAAGCCAAUAAUGAUGUAGUAAUAUCCUCAACUUUGAUGCUUUCCUUGCCAUACAUCAAAGUCGUGAUCACGUGCUCAUAAGAUGACAGAAGUGAACACAGAAGAAUAAUUGCCUUGUCUUCAUUAUCAACCAUCACAUCUAGUUGCUCUAGGUCCGUGACCAUCUGACUAGAAAAAUUGAUAUGCUCUGCAAGAUCCGACCCUUCCAGCAUCUUCAGCCCAUACAACUUCUGCUUCAGAUUCAGCUUGGUCAUCAUAGUUUUUGACAUGAAUUGAGUUUCUAGCUUGUCCCAGAUUUGCUUCGGUGUCUUUAGUUCUAUGACAUGGUGCAUGACCUGGUCUGAUAGACAUAGCCAUAUGGUUGCAGCCGCUAGCGUCCGUUUCUCCUCCUAGUCAUCCUGCUCCAUCUUCUAUGGCUUCUUCUCCUUUAAGCCCGCCAAGUUCCCCUGUUGUGUCAACAGAUCCUUGACCCUUACCUACCAUAAUCCAAAGUUGCCAGAGCCAUCAAACUUCACCACCUCAAAUCUGCCUACUGUCGACAUUCGGCCGACACGCAGUUUGACCGAUCCUUUGUCGCCGGUACAACCGCUCGAUCUGUCUGACUUGUCGGUUGGUUCAAUACUGUCUGGUACUACCUCUCUGUUGUCUGACCUUGCUAGGCUGCCUACCAAUGAGAAGCUUCACUUGCAAAUAGCUGCACACGAGACUCCUUGGCCCACAAUCAAGCACCUCCAAACAGCUCCCGCGCAAAUUGCAAAGAGUCUCUUUACGAUCUCUACAUUGCCUUGCGCGUUUCCGCUUGCCUCGAUUGCCUUUCUGCCAAGCAACACCAUGUCCUCAGGUUUUAUAUCCACGCAUGACCCAACCCGAUCCGACUCUACUCGCAACACAGUAGUCCGAUUCCUGGCCCUGCACUCCUUUCCAAAUGGAACCGUACCAUCCGAGCAAUGUUCUCGUUCCAGCAAGCCCUCCCGACAAAACAGGAAAAAGAAAUCCGCCUCGAAAUCCUUGCUGAACCGCCUCUGGAAGCUAAAUCGUCACGGUCAAGACUAAGACCCCAUUUGGUAAAGCUCCGGCUCCUCCAAAACGGCUUCAGCUUCGGCUCCUUUGGUAGAGUGGCUUCUCUAGUGGAGCUGAAGUCAUUUUGCAAAAUGUUUGGUAAAACGGCUCAAUGGCAAUAUGAGUAAUUUUAUGAUCACUUAAUGUUUGGAGAGAGAGGAGAAGCUGGUGAAACCACUAUUUUUUGGCUCCUCCUCUCUAGUGUAAGGUGCCGUUUGGUAGAGUUUUAGCUCCUUCCAAAAUGGCUUCGGCUCUAGCUCCUUUGGUGGAGUGGUUUCUCUAGUGGAGCUGAAGCCGUUUUACAAAAUAUUUGAUAAAACGGCUUCUCAAUGGCAAUAUGGGUAAUUUUAUGAUCACUUAAUACUCGGAGACAUAUGAGAAGCGGGUGAAGCCACUUUUUUAACUCCUCCUCUCUAGUGUAAGCCGUUUUGCAGCUUCUCCACGGUCUCGGUGAUGGAGCCAUUUUGAAAUUGCCCCUUUGGUAAGGCUUCACCAAAAGCCGGUGGAGAAGCACUUUUAGAAGCCCUACCAAACGGGGCCUAAGCUGUUUUGUGGCUUCUCCCCGACUUCGGUGGUGGAGCCAUUUUGAAAUUGCCCCUUUGGUACGGCUUCACCAAAAACUGGUGGAGAAGCACUUUGAGAAGCCUUACCAAAUGGAGCCUAAGCUUUCCAAUUAAAUCCUUGUAACAACACAACCUAGGUCCUAUAUUGUCUCCGACAUGCACGUACCCUGCAUUAUGCACAAACAAACAAGGAAAACAAGACUCCAAGUCCUUCACGCUAGGCACCUGGGUUGUUCCAAACUCCAUCUCACUGCAUCUCACCUUACAAGUCGCGAUAGUCCAGGUCUUUCAUGGUUCACCAUGGCCUCUUCCUAUGUACUUGUCGCUCAUGACACUAUACGUCCGCCAACAUCGCCAUAUGUGCUCUGCCGUGAGCUUCGCCUUGCGCUCUCUGUACACAGCCCCAACUGUUGCAGCUGCGCUCUCAUGCACCACCUGUGCAUGAAUGUGCUGUACCACUCAUAUCGUCGACACAAUCAGCUUGUCAUGCCACAAAUACCGCCUUUAUACAACACCGGUCACAUCACCGUUAUCAUGAUGCUCCCACGCUCCAAUCUAUCCAGCCAUCACCUGCGUUUGGUCGCCGGUAUGAUCCCAAGCCGAAGCUGCCGCCCUAUUCGUGUCGUCUUCAAUGGCCAUUGUGUUGGUCCAAUCACCACGUCUAGUCGAUCCUCACCAACUGUAGCCCGUCAAACUAUCCAAGAAGUCUUUGACACCACCGAUCGAAUCGCCGAUCGCCGCCAUGCUCCACCUUGCACCGCAUCGAGCAGUUCCGCAAUGCUCGUUGAGCAUAUCCUCGCGUCUCCAUGGUGAUCUCCAUACUGUCUCUAGAUCCAAUCUAACCAUAGCUCUGAUACCAUGUGUUAGAAUAAUAGCACGCGGAAGCAAUGAUUGAUCUACUGAGAUAAUGUAUGCGAGAUCACAGCUGACACCGGAGGCACGAUAUUUGUUGACGAGGUUCAACCAAAGCCUAUAUCCCGGGGCAUGACUACAGACGCUCCUUCCCAAACCGCAACACCGGUCGCUCCAGGAUCCCGGCAAUACGCCUCCUCCUAUGAGCCUGUCGUUAUGGUUACAACAACGAUCCUCCUCUGUGUUACAAGAGUGUGGCGGAAUACCUCGGAUUAACUCAACUAAAGCACAGUUAAGUCGCCUAAUACGCGAUCCUCAUGCUUUAAUCAAGUUAACUCGAUGUGCCGUCGAAUUUCAUCCGAUUUAACCACUUAACAGGACCGAGUUAGCAUAACUCAUACGAAGGUGAGUGGUUCCAGAGAAUACAACAGAUCCACAAAGGGGUUUAGCAAUUCAUUACACACUGGUUGAAAUCAGAGUUUUACAAGGUUCCAAAGAAAACAACAGACGGCAAAAACAUCGAGGAAGCUAGCGUCGGGGUCGGAUGUCCCUGGUGAGGCCAGCCAGGACAUCAAUGAUCCCAUUCCCCACCGUCCGAGGAAGGAUCCCACUCGACUGUCCACCUCGGAGGAAGCUGGGGUGGCCAAGUGCCAGCAGCAAGCUCCGAAGUUUCAACUUCACCUGAAAAGAGAUGCCACAACAAGGCUGAGCUUCUAAGCUCAACAAGACUUAAUCGACCGGUGAAAAACUACUUCACCACUUCUAGACAUGCAUGGCUCUUUGGCUGAGGGGUUUUGUUUGCCAAAAGCAACUGUGUUAGGUCCUUACUUUCAAGGUUUUAGCUCAGAUUCUAAGUUCAUUAACCAGUCUACAUUGACAACUUACACUAAGCAAGCAUAGAUCCAACAUUACGUAUAUAAGCUUAACAUCAAGGCCAUGUCAUCAUCAGACUCCUUCAUUACUCAGUGUAGCAUAGCGAUCAAGCAGUCUCAAAUUAUGAGAGGCAGACGAAUCGAUUCGAGUUCUUUAACCAUGCAUGGUGAACCUAACCUCACGAUAUCCGCGCACCAUCGAGGGUUGCUUCCUGUGUCGGCCUUCCCCAUCAAUUCCCUAACCCGUGUCGGGCCCACUUUCCUUGGUGCAAGGUUCCACAAACCCGGCCUCUGCUGUUCUGUGACCACACUUGCCACCACGUGUGGCCGCAGGGGAACUUUGUUCCAGAGACAGUGGAUCGAACCGCUCACGUUUAGGUUCAAUCAGGUACUAGGCUUCCCCAUCCCAUAAUGGGUAUGAGAUUAGUACUUUCAAACACUUGGUCACGAACACCACCACUGUCAGACCUUAACAGAUUCAAUAAACAGACGGGGUGAUCAGCCGACCACCAAAAGAGUUAACCAUAACCCUGCCCCGUCCAUCGUCCUUAUAGUUAUAACUAGAAGAGAACAUCCAACUCCUAUAACUCGCGAGUGACAGGAAAUCACUCGACUUUUACCGAGUCCUAUUUAAGCAUUGCAACUACUCGGACCCAACAGACUAGUGUUCAGAUCAAAGGGACUAAGUCAUGCAUCUAGGGUUGCAAACAACUCCUAUACGUAAAUGCACAUUCAUAAGAAGGAAAGCAUGUGCAAGUUUAGAAAGUUGGGUUCAUGCUCCGGGGCUUGCCUUCAAGCGGAGUGGAGGUGAUCUGGUCUUCAGCAGGGUCUGCUUUGGCUUCUGGGAUUGGCGGCUCUGCUACAGAUCCGUCUUCAGGCGCCGGAUGUAGCUCGUAAAUGCCAUCGGUGAGAUGUAACUCUACAUGAAUGCAAUGCAGGAGUUAGCACUUAGACGGUCAUUUUAACAACACUUGCAAGUUUAAGCUUAGACACAUGUAGCAAAGCUACAGGAGAGGGUGGGGGAGAACAGGAUAAAAGGGUCGGAUGGGGAUAAACUUAUGAUCUGACCCCUCAAACUUGAGGAAUAACUGUGCCGGUCCUCAGACUUAACGCAGAGAAGUCCCCAAUAUUUUGCACAGAUACCCUCGGGUCAAGAAAAAGAUACAGCCGAGCCCUCGGGCGAGGUGGAUAAGGGUCGACGAAACAGGCAGGGUCAGGCGAGACGGAAAAGGGGUCGGCAGCUUACCUUCAGGUCUACUGGUGAAGCUUUGGGGUCGGGAAGGAACAGACUUGGGCGGAAAGACUAGAGCACUAAGGCUGAGACGACGGCGAGGUUUGACGGUGCUCCGGCGGCGACGGAGCUUCUUGUGGGCAACAAGAAAGCUCUAGCACAGCGCGGAGGAGUAGCCGGCUGGUGGGUUAGGGAGAAGCGGGUUUGAGCGGAGAGGGAAACUUCUCAAGAGUUCGGCGGGAGUGCUCAAGUGCGCUCAGAGUAGGGGCGGCGAAACAGCGAUGGCGAAGGAAACUCCGGUAGGACUCUGGCAUGCCUUUUUAUAGCUGCGCGGAAGAGAGAGAGUUUGAGCAGCACGAAGACCGGUAAGAAAAGGAUGGAGUGCGCUGCCAUGGCGGCGAUUGAGCGGUGAUGGGCGGCGGAACAGGGCCUUGGAGACAGGAUCUUUGGCUAUUGGGCACUGGAGACAAGGUUGGCGCAGGCGCGGCUUUGCCGGGAUUUAGAUCUGGCGAAGGCGAGCGUGGUCUGGUCACGUCAAGCGACGGAGUGUGGGUGGCGGAUUUGACUGGCGUGUGACAAGGAGGAAGGCGGUGCAAGCGAGGUUGCAACAGGCGAAGUGACAGGGCGAGCAGCGGCGCGGGAGAGUGCUAAACAGCGGCUUGCCGGGGCACAUCACUGGCGAGGUAGGAAAAAGGAGCUGUCUCUGCCGGAGUCAGGGUUGGCGAGAGCGGUAUCGUCGUGGAGCGAGCUCGUGGGCGGCGUGAAUGUGGAGAGGCGGAAAACCCGGAAGGCAUUAGGGCUUGCAGCCGGGGAUCCGGCGAGAUGAUGGGCGCGGGUCGCGAGGCGGUCUGACGCAGCAGCGGCAAAGUUCUGCCACGAUGGUGACGGGGCACCUUGGCGCGGUCGGUGAGGGCGCGAGCGAGACGAUGCGAGGCAGAAAGGGUUGCAGGGGGUUGCCGCUGCGAUUGGGGAGGAGGGCGCGCUGAUCCAUCCUGUCGCGACCGGCGACUGGGCGAGGCGGCGGGCGUCGGAGGAGUUGAGCCAUGCAGCGGGGAAGCUCUGAAACGACGCAUGCUGCUCAGGCGCGUCUGUCUCGAGAGAACCGGGGAAAAGAUUGCGGAUCCACCAGUUAGUCUCGGGUUCUCCACUGCUCCAAGAUUGGAAGGAAUACUGCCUUUAGACUCAGAGUUGAACCGGCGGUUUUGGUUUGAGUUUUCAGGGAUCGGGGCUGAGAACCGGAUUUUGAGCGCUCAAGCUCAGGAAGGCUGAGUCAGCGGGAUUAGGGACUCGGGUUAAGAUUAACUCGGCUGAUUAACCGAGGUCGUUACAAAGAGUCCAACACAUACUCUACACGCUGCCGCUAAUACAAUUUCAAGUUCCAAUGUAAUCAACUAGUAUAUAAUAUUCGACACAAUUCUAACACAAGCGAAGGCUCAGACAAGUUAAGGGGGUGUUUGGAUACGAGGUGUUAAACUUUAACAGUGUCACAUCGGAUGUUCGGAUGAUAAUUAGGAGAACUAAACAUGAGCUAAUUAUAAAACUAAUUGCAGAACCCUGUGUUAAUUCGCGAGACGAAUCUAUUAAGCCUAAUUAAUCCAUCAUUAGCAAAUGGUUACUGUAGCACCACAUUGUCAAAAUCAUGGACUAAUUAGGCUUAAUAGAUUCGUCUCGUGAAUUAUACUCCAUCUGUGCAAUUAGUUUUGUAAUUAGCCUAUAUUUAAUACUCCUAAUUAGCAUCCAAACAUCCGAUGUGACGGGUGUUAAAGUUUAACAGCUGGUUGCCAAACAGGCCCUUAAAUAAAAGAAGAUAAUCAAGCAGGAAGGGAUCGGAAGGACAGUAGUACCGAGCAGCGGCCGGAUCCACCAAUACAAGACGCAGCUCCACACAUGCUCAUGGCGCUCGUACGCGUUGGCUACUGUUCUCCGCAAUAGAGUGCGUCUGCGUGGGGGACGGCGCCCGGUGGGCUUCCCAAAUCACAAUCGGUCCUCAAACUCGCACCCAGUCAGAAGUUGAGGUGGGUUCGGGUCAGACUGUUCUAGCACUAGUAUUCGCCAAUGAAGAAAAUUGGUGGCACCCUGUCGAAGUUUUUGUCGUUAUGCUGGAAAUAUUCAGACGUAAGAUCGUUGCCUUUGCACGUCCGGUUGUUCAUUUGGCAGACCAAGACCGUCAGUCACUCUCCGCUCUUACCAUGUCCUGGUGUCUCUGUCAACCUUUCUGAACUAUGCACCUCUAAACGGAUGAGCUCUGUACUUGAGAAGCUUGUAUUAGGCGUUCACGUCUUCUUUUUUUUUUCAGACAAACGGGAAACGUUGGCCUGAAUUUAUGGAAGAUCAACGAGAACUCAGGUUGUAAUGCCGGCCUUUUUAAAAAAAAUCUUUUAUGGAAUAUCAUAAUGAAAAACUGCAAAAGUACAAAUAAAAGCUAGACGCCUCAAUUUAUUGUACAAUAGAACGCUCACCAGAAUGGCAGACUCACAUAAUCACACUUGAACAUUCACUUGGCAAUCCCAUCAUGGCUAACCAACAUCUUUAUUUGUUUCUUUUCUUACACGACUCAAUCCGAACCAAUUCGCUUAGCGGCAGCGGCAGCGUAAGCGGCGAGGAGCUUAUUGGCGUACUGCACGGCCACGUCCACCUCCGGCACCACUUUCUUCACCUCCGCACUUUCCCCGAACCGCUCCGCCCACGCUGCCAAGAGGGGAACCUUGUUUGCGCUAAUGAUCUCGACUCCAUACAUCGUGCGCACCGCAUCGAACCAGAACAAGAAGGAGCCGAGCACGAUGUCGAGGUACCUGAUGGAGUCGCCUCCGAAGAAAGCCUUGCCCUUGGAGCACUGGGCGAAGGCUUCCUCCAUUUGCCCGAUCGCAGCAGAAGUCUCCGUCACCUUCUCUGCCCUCUCGUCCUCCGUCUUGGCCAUCACGAUGCCAAACCACGCCGGACAUAGCUUGUCGUCGACGAAGGCGGCCCAGAAGCGAGCAGUGGCGCGCUCGUAGAGAUCGGUGGGGAGUAUGGACGGGCCGGCAAACAGCUCGUCGACGUACUGCACGAUGACGAGCGAUUCACACAGCGGCUUACCG
rnacentral:lncRNA from 1 species